rnacentral:rRNA from 1 species
CAGCAGCCGCGGGAAUACGUAGGUGGCGAGCGUUGUCCGGAAUUAUUGGGCGUAAAGCGCGCGCAGGUGGUUUAAUAAGUCUGAUGUGAAAGCCCACGGCUCAACCGUGGAGGGUCAUUGAAAACUGUUAAACUUGAGUGCAGGAGAGAAAAGUGGAAUUCCUAGUGUAGCGGUGAAAUGCGUAGAGAUUAGGAGGAACACCAGUGGCGAAGGCGGCUUUUUGGCCUGUAACUGACACUGAGGCGCGAAAGCGUGGGGAGCAAACAGGAUUAGAGACCCCGGUAGUCCCUGUCUCUUAUAC